GGCUCGCGCGAACACCCACCCGCCCACACACACGCGCGCGCGCGCGCGAGCGAGCAAGCGAGCGCGCGCACACAGUCACCCGGAGCAUGAGUGUGAUGGAUGGAUCGUCGCUUGCGUUUAUUAACUGAACGCAAUGCCCCCAAACAACAACAAUUUUGAGAUGUAACCAUUCAGAAGAUGACAACAUUCCUGCUUUCUAUUUAUGGACGGAAGUGCAAUAUACAACACCCCUUGAGGCAAGAAAUAGCAGCUAAUCAAAGGUGUGGUGUCUUUGUUCACUGAUUGGCAUGUUGACUCAGGUGAGCUGGAGCUGGAAAUAGAAGUAACAACGUUGGAAAAGCAUAACCCUCUCAUUUUAUUUCAUAAAAAUGGUCAUGACAAGACAAAUGUUACACUCUUACAGCUUUAAUAAAAAAAAAAAAAGUUGGUUUGUUUGUUAUGGUAAUGCUGCUUGCCCCAACCUCUGACUACUGAUUAUGAUCUGAGUUGGUGUAAUAAAUGUUUUUUGCCACU